rnacentral:lncRNA from 1 species
CUUACACUGCACAGCCAAAGAAAACCAAUUCUCUCUUCACUACGUUCUGGUUGAACAAUUCCGAAGUAGCAGAAGUGGACACACUCUGCUAUUGUUCUCCACUGCUGCAGGAGCCAGAAUCUCUCCUCAUCCGCUGGAGGCAGAGCUGGGCAAACAACAAUUUGCACACUGCAUGGAAAGUGAUGCCAGGAACAUAGCAGAGGAAGAUGUCCUCAGGGUUUUCAAUUUGUAUGGGCUGUUAGCGGUUGAGACAACUGAGAAUUUUCUAUAGAAAUAGCUAUUUGUUGGGUUGGUUUUCUUUUUUUGUUUGUUUGUUUUUGGAAAAUGCUGAUUUAUUGAAUCAGGGAGGGUAUGAGGAGCACUGCUGAAGGCCAGAGUUUGGGCUGGAAACGCACAGAGGUUCUGCUUUGGGAACUGCUGCUGAUGUCCACCCCAUGCAGAUGAGCGAUGACUUCUGGCCUCCCCCAGCGAGCGCCCUGGGACCAUUUCUGCAGCGCAGACUGGAGCUCAGUUUACCAGGAAAUCCACGUUUGCAAUUUCUUCUCUCAGGUGGAUGGCCAGGGAGAGUCGCUGCUUCCUUGAACAGAGUUCGGAACAGGAAAUUGAGAAAAAGAAACCAACACAGCACACAGCUUGUCCAAGAGAAGGAGCUGACUGCUGGCUUUGCAGGCACUAUUUUUACGCCCAAAGGGUAUUUCCAAGCUCCCAAGGGCUUAGUAAUAGAACAGAUCCCAGGGGGAUGUUGGGGAAGGGCUCUGCUGAUGAAAAGAGGUUUCUUCCUGUUUGCUCCCUGCUGGUGGGACGUCUGCCAAGCACAGUCAAUGCUGAGGAACACCUGCAUCCAUCUAAUAACGUGGGCUGAGGAAAAAUCAUGAGAUAAUCGAUAGGAAACCAGCUCUCAGAAGGAGAAAGUACUUUAAACGUCUGCUCUCAAGUGACUGUUUCUGCUGACAGGUCGGAUGAUACACCGAAUCACACACACAGUCAGCACACACCUAAAUCAUCAAAACACGUUUGUACCACUCGCUGAGUUUGCCCUGGCACUGGAAG